AGCCCCGGCAGACUCUAUUCUGCUCUUUAAAAUUUGCAAUCUUAUAUGCUAUACAUCACAAGGCU
rnacentral:tRNA from 1 species